rnacentral:rRNA from 1 species
GAUGAACGCUGGCGGCGUGCCUAAUACAUGCAAGUCGAGCGAAAAGACGAGGAGCUCGCUCUCUUGCGGUUAGCGGCGGACGGGCGAGUAACACGUGGAUCACCAACUAAUAAGACUGGGAUAACAACGGGGAACCGGAGCUAAUACUGGAUAAUAUAUUGUACCGCAUGGAUCAAUAGAGAAAGACGGCUUUCGUGUUACUAUUAGACGGAUUCGGGCCGCAUUAGCUAGUUGGUAAGGUAACGGCUUACCAAGGCUACGAUGCGUAGCCGACCUGAGAGGGUGAUCAGCCACACUGGAACUGAGACACGGUCCAGACUCCUACGGGAGGCAGCAGUAGGGAAUCUUCGACAAUGGGCGAAAGCCUGACGCAGCAACACCGCGUGGGUGAUGAAGGUCUUCGGAUCGUAAAGCUCUUUUGUUGGGAAAGAAAAGAUGUAGAAGUAACUAUGCACGUCUUGACGGUACCUAAAGAGAAAGCCACGGCUAACUACGUG